rnacentral:misc_RNA from 1 species
AACAUCGCGCACCUGCGGGAACCUGCGGAAGGAUCAUUACAGAGUUGCAAAACUCCCUAAACCAUUGUGAACGUUACCUAAACCGUUGCUUCGGCGGGCGGCCCGGGUCCUUCCCGGCGCCCCUCGGCCCUCGCGGGCGCCCGCCGGAGGUAAACCAAACUAUUGCAUUGUAUGGCCUCUCUGAGUCUUCUGUACUGAAUAAGUCGAAACUUUCAACAAUGGAUCUCAGAUCGGAAGAGC